GGGGGCGACUGGUUUCGACAUGAUAGUUUUGAGAGAGGAAGCAAGCGGUGGUCUCCUCGCCACCUUAAACAGGGGUACCGUCAAAUUAAUUGACAACAAGCAAUACGCACUCGCCGCUUAAUUAAGCAGCGACGUCGACUGUGUGGGCUUCCCCACCACGCACAAGACGCCAUUUUGGGGAAUGCAUCCGCGCACGUAGCCGGUAUGGCACGGAUAAAGACAGAACCAGCUGGGGAUAAGCCCGUGUGUCUGUAGACCCGCUUUGACCGAGACUUGAGUACAGACUGAGCUUGGAGAUGCCUCUCAAGGAGCUAUUAUGGACCGGAGUUCGAUCCUCCGCGCCUCCACCA
rnacentral:tmRNA from 1 species